rnacentral:lncRNA from 1 species
GAUCUGCCAGUCUCCGCCUCCCAAAGUGCUGGGAUUACCGAGUUUCUGUGGGAAAUGAGAACUGCAGCUGCCAACUUCACCAUUUUGCUGAUGUCACUAAGUGCAAGUUUGACUUUUCAAUUAGACCAUCUAUGCCUAAAGAUUUUUCAGAUGCCAAGAUGCUUCUUUCACAUCUUAGGAUCAUGGUGGUUUGUAAACAGAUAAGAAAGUUUGGAGUUGCCCAGAAAGAAAGCAUAGUCAUGCUUCACCAAUCCAGUGCUCACUUAUCCAUGUCAGCUCUUUAAGUCAUGUCUGAGAUCCCUGAGGUAAGCACAAAGAGGUCUGAGUGGAGAGAAAUAAACAGAAAUCACAACUUGCAAAACUGUUCUAUAACUUGCAAAACAGACAAACUGUACCAAACCAGGACAUGCAGGAAAAACUAUCCAAACUAAGACCCUUUUAACAUCAGCUCAUCCAGGGCCCUAUGUUCAAAAUAAGACCACAGAUUUGAUUUUAUAGUAACUGCACAAGGACUUGUGUCUUUUAAAGAUAAGACCACUGAUUGUUCCAAAAACUUAUCAAGUUGACAGAUUCUGACUAAUCACUGCUCAGACCCUCCCCAUCAUCUUCUGCCCUAAAUCCAUGCUAUGACAAACCCCAGUUCCCCAAACCCUGUAAGUAUCCUCCCCUAAUUACCCUAGUUUGAGAUGUGCCACAGUUCUCAUGGUGUGUGCUCUUCUUGCUGCAGGAAGCAAGUAAACCUAACCUCUUUUUGACCCCAGGUGUGUCUUGGUGAUCCUUGGUGGGUAAGCUUUUAUUAGCUUUUAUUAAUUUUUUUUUCCUAACCACUAGACAACCAGGGAUGGAUAAUUUUUUUUU